AGUGAACGCUGGCGGCGCGCUUAACACAUGCAAGUCGAACGAGAACGGGUUAUAGCUUGCUAUAAUUAUCAGCUAAGUGGCGCACGGGUGAGUAAUGUAUAGGUAAUAUGCCUCUUACUAAGGGAUAACAAUUGGAAACGAUUGCUAAUACCUUAUAUGCCUUUAAGACUAAAGUCUGCAAGGGAAAGAUUUAUUGGUAAGAGAUUAGCCUGUAUUGUAUCAGCUAGUUGGUGAGGUAAUGGCUCACCAAGGCUAUGACGCAUAACUGGUUUGAGAGGAUGAUCAGUCACACUGGAACUGAGACACGGUCUAGACUCCUACGUGAGGCAGCAGGGGGGAAUAUUGCACAAUGGACGAAAGUCUGAUGCAGCAACGCCGCGUAGAGGAUGACACAUUUCGGUGCGUAAACUCCUUUUAUAUUGGAAGAUAAUGACGGUACUAUAUGAAUAAGCACCGGCUAACUCCGUGCCAGCAGCCGCCGUAA
rnacentral:rRNA from 1 species